rnacentral:rRNA from 1 species
UACGUAGGGGGCAAGCGUUGUCCGGAAUCAUUGGGCGUAAAGCGCGUGUAGGCGGCCCGAUAAGUCCGCUGUGAAAGUCCAGGGCUCAACCCUGGAAUGCCGGUGGAUACUGUCGGGCUCGAGUCCGGAAGAGGCGAGUGGAAUUCCUGGUGUAGCGGUGGAAUGCGCAGAUAUCAGGAGGAACACCAAUAGCGAAGGCAGCUCGCUGGGACGGUACUGACGCUGAGGUGCGAAAGCGUGGGGAGCAAACAGG